rnacentral:rRNA from 1 species
AUGUCUUCCUCCACCUCCUCCUCCUCCCAGCCAAACCUCAGCGGCGGAGUCACAGAGAAACUCUCCCGCACCAACUACAUCCUGUGGCGGACCCAGAUCACGCCACAGCUGCGGGGCGCCGAUGUCUACCACUACGUCGACGGUACGUCGACCGAGCCGGCCAAAACCCACGUCACCAAAGAUGCCGCUGGGAAAGAAACCGAGGGGCCGAAUCCUCUCCAUCCGCUCUGGGUGAAGGAGGAUCAGCAGGUCCUUGGAUAUCUACUCCAACACCUAUCCAAGGAGGUGCUCGUCACGGUGACCGCGAUCACCACGGCGCGGGAACUAUGGGUGGCGCUGGCGAGCAUGUUCUCGUCGCAGUCCCUCAGCCGCGUCAACAACAUUCGCACGGCGCUGAUCAACGCGCAGAAGGGCAACCAAUCGGUGUCCUCCUUCUUCGCCGCCAUGAGGGGGCUUGCUGAUGAGCUUGCCGCAGCGGGCAAACCAAUCCAAGACGACGAGCUCAUAUCCUACAUCAUCCACGGGCUGGACCAAGACUAUCAGCCCCUUGUCUCCGCCUUGGACGCCCGCGUCACUCCGGUAACCCUUGAUGAGCUUUUCGCUAUGCUUAGUAACUUUGAUCAGCGGAUGGCGCAGUUUCACGGCUCCGGUGGCGGCGGCUUCAAAUCCUCGGCCAACUCUGUCUCUAGAGGCCGCGGUGGCGGCUCUCGCUCUCGUUCCUCCUCUCGUGGCAAGGGGAGGUCUAGUGGCGGUGGUGGCGGCGGCUACUCCAACAACACUCGCGGCAGCGGACGCUCUGGCAGCUCAAAAGGGCGCCGCGGUGGCGGCUCCAACAGAUCGCGUCCGGAUCUCCCUCGCUGCCAAAUUUGUGGCAAACCUGGUCACACGGCGAGGGACUGUUGGUACCGUUACGAAGAUGAUGAUGGUGAUUCCUCACAAGACGAAGAAAAAGUUGCUGCCGCUGCCGAUGGCUCCUAUGGGAUCGACACAAAUUGGUAUGUCGAUAGUGGUGCUACCAACCACAUCACCAACGAGCUUGAGAAGGUCACCAUGAAGGAAAAGUAUCGUGGCAAGGAUCAAAUCCAUACGGCCAGUGGUGAAGGCCACGAGGAAAGUGCUUUAUUGAGGUAG